CAUAGCUUAACGAAGCGAACCGGGGGAACUGAAACAUCUAAGUACCCCGAGGAAAAGAAAUCAACCGAGAUUCCCCCAGUAGCGGCGAGCGAACGGGGAGGAGCCCAGAGUCUGAAUCAGCGCGUGUGUUAGUGGAACGGUCUGGAAAGUCCGGCGGUACAGGGUGAUAGCCCCGUACACUAAAAUGCACACGUUGUGAACUCGAAGAGUAGGGCGGGACACGUGGUAUCCUGUCUGAAUAUGGGGGGACCAUCCUCCAAGGCUAAAUACUCCUGACUGACCGAUAGUGAACCAGUACCGUGAGGGAAAGGCGAAAAGAACCCCGGCGAGGGGAGUGAAAAAGAACCUGAAACCGUGUACGUACAAGCAGUGGGAGCCUCUUUAUGGGGUGACUGCGUACCUUUUGUAUAAUGGGUCAGCGACUUAUAUUC
rnacentral:rRNA from 1 species